rnacentral:rRNA from 1 species
AAACGACUCUCGGCAACGGAUAUCUCGGCUCUCGCAUCGAUGAAGAACGUAGCGAAAUGCGAUACUUGGUGUGAAUUGCAGAAUCCCGUGAACCAUCGAGUCUUUGAACGCAAGUUGCGCCCGAAGCCGUUAGGCCGAGGGCACGCCUGCCUGGGCGUCACAC